AACGAACGCUGGCGGCGUGCCUAACACAUGCAAGUCGAACGAGAAAGGGGCUUCGGCUCCGAGUAAAGUGGCGCACGGGUGAGUAACACGUGGGUAACCUGCCUCUAAGAUUGGGAUAACUCGUCAAAAGAUGAGCUAAUACCGAAUAAGACCACAGUUCCCGCGGGAACAGGGGUCAAAGGUAGCCUCUGCUUGCAAGCUAUCACUUAGAGAUGGGCCUGCGCACCAUUAGCUAGUUGGUAGGGUAACGGCCUACCAAGGCAAAGAUGGUUAGCUGGUCUGAGAGGAUGAUCAGCCACACUGGAACUGAGACACGGUCCAGACUCCUACGGGAGGCAGCAGUGGGGAAUAUUGCGCAAUGGGCGAAAGCUUGACGCAGCAACGCCGCGUGAGUGAUGAAGGCCUUCGGGUCGUAAAGCUCUGUCGGGAGGAACGAAUGCUCCUGAGGUUAACAGCCUCGGGAGGUGACGGUACCUUCAAAGGAAGCACCGGCUAACUCUGUG
rnacentral:rRNA from 1 species